ACUGUUUAGGUCACGUGGAUAACCUGCCCUAUGGUGGAGAAUAAUCCCGGGAAACUGGGGAUAAUGCUCCAUAGAUUAGAGAUACUGGAAUGUUCUUUAAUCGAGAGUUGAGGCGCCAUAGGAUGGAUCUGCGGUCGAUUAGGUUGUUGUUGGGGUAACGGCCCAACAAGCCUGUAAUCGAUACGGGUUGUGGGAGCAAGAGCCCGGAGAUGGAAUCUGAGACACGAUUCCAGGCCCUACGGGGCGCAGCAGGCGCGAAAACUUUACAAUGCAGGAAACUGUGAUAAGGGAACCCCGAGUGCCCGUAUACGCGGGCUGUCCAGGUGUCUAAAAAGCAUCUGAAGAAAGGGCCGGGCAAGACCGGUGCCAGCCGCCGCGGUAAUACCGGCGGCUCGAGUGGUGGCCACUAUUAUUGGGCUUAAAGCGUCCGUAGCUGGACUCUUAAGUCUCUUGGGAAAUCCGCCGGCUUAACCGACGGGCGUCUAAGAGAUACUGAGAGUCUAGGGACCGGGAGAGGUGAGAGGUACUCCGGGGGUAGGAGUGAAAUCCUGUAAUCCCUGGGGGACCACCGAUGGCGAAGGCAUCUCACCAGAACGGCUCCGACAGUGAGGGACGAAAGCUGGGGGAGCGAACCGGAUUAGAUACCCGGGUAGUCCCAGCCGUAAACUAUGCGCGUUAGGUGUACUGGUGACCACGAGUCACUGGGGUGCCGAAGGGAAACCGUGAAACGUGCCGCCUGGGAAGUACGGUCGCAAGGCUGAAACUUAAAGGAAUUGGCGGGGGAGCAC
rnacentral:rRNA from 1 species